GACGGAGGAUGCAAGUGUUAUCCGGAAUUACUGGGCGUAAAGUGUGCGCAGGCGGCCGAGCAAGUCGAGUGUGAAAGCCCCGAGCUUAACUUGGGAACUGCGCUCGAAACUACUUGGCUAGAGUGUGGCAGAGGGAGGUGGAAUUCCACGUGUAGCGGUGAAAUGCGUAGAGAUGUGGAGGAACACCGACGGCGAAGGCAGCCUCCUGGGCCAACACUGACGCUCAUGCACGAAAGCGUGGGGAGCAAACAGG
rnacentral:rRNA from 1 species